GAUGAACGCUGGCGGCGUGCCUAAUACAUGCAAGUCGAGCGAACAGAUCCGGAGCUUGCUCCUUUGACGUUAGCGGCGGACGGGUGAGUAACACGUGGGUAACCUACCUAUAAGACUGGAAUAACUCCGGGAAACCGGGGCUAAUGCCGGAUAACAUUUAGAACCGCAUGGUUCUAAAGUGAAAGAUGGUUUUUCUAGCUCUAAUCGAUGGACCCGCGCCGUAUUAGGUAGUUGGUAAGGUCACGGCUUACCAAGGCAACGAUUCGUAGACGACGUGAGAGAGUGAUAGGCAACCCGGGAACUGAGACACGGUCCAGAGUCCUGCGGGAGGCAGCAGUAGGGAACGUGCCGCAACGGGCGAAAGCCUGACGGAGCAGGGCCGAGUGAGUGAUGAAGGUCCUCGGAUCGUAAUAAUCGGUUAUUAGGGAAGAACAAAUGUGGAAGUAACUGUGCACGUCUUGACGGUACCGAAUCAGAAAGCCACGGCUAACUACGUG
rnacentral:rRNA from 1 species